UACAGAGGGUGCAAGCGUUGUUCGGAAUUAUUGGGCGUAAAGAGCUCGUAGGCGGCCAGUUGCGUCCGCUGUGAAAUCCCGGGGCUUAACCCCGGGCGUGCAGUGGAUACGGGCUGGCUAGAGGCAGGCAGGGGAGAACGGAAUUCCCGGUGUAGCGGUGAAAUGCGCAGAUAUCGGGAGGAACACCGGUGGCGAAGGCGGUUCUCUGGGCCUGUACUGACGCUGAGACGCGAAAGCGUGGGGAGCGAACAGG
rnacentral:rRNA from 1 species